rnacentral:tRNA from 1 species
GCCGUCGUAGCUCAGGUGGAAGAGCACACCCUUGGUACAAGUGAGGUCCGGGGUUCGAAUCCCCGCGUCGACU